GGGGGCGUAAGGGCUUCGACAGGGUAAUUGUCGAGGUUAGGUUCGUGUCGGGAGAUGGUUUUACUUCCGAAAUCAAUAAACCAAACACAGCUGCAAACAACAACAGCCACUUCGAGACCGAAGGCCGCCUAGCGGCCUGAGGUAUUGUGGGAUUCGUCCCACCUCCGUUCGUCUUGACGAUUUCGCGUAAUCAAGGUGAGCGUAAUUGACGCGGAUAGUCUCCAGGAACUUUCCCUUCGGCUGGGAGGAGUGAGGAGACGAAAAAACUGAUUCCCUAUUAGCCUCUUCCGUUUGGGCUGGCACCGAGCCACGGACGAUGAAGAAAAGAAUCGGGGCUAUACACGUACAGAUCUAACAGCGGAUUACUUUGGACGCGGGUUCGACUCCCGCCGCCUCCACUU
rnacentral:tmRNA from 1 species